GUGCUCACUUUGGCAGCACAUAUACUAAAAUUGGAAAGAUACAGAGAUUAGCAUGGCCCUUGCUCAAGGAAAACACGCAAAUUCAUGAAGCAUUCCAUAUUUUU